rnacentral:rRNA from 1 species
AGUGAACGCUGGCGGUAGGCCUAACACAUGCAAGUCGAACGGCAGCACAGUAAGAGCUUGCUCUUACGGGUGGCGAGUGGCGGACGGGUGAGGAAUACAUCGGAACCUACUUUUUCGUGGGGGAUAACGUAGGGAAACUUACGCUACUACCGCAUACGACCUACGGGUGAAAGCAGGGGAUCUUCGGACCUUGCGCGAUUGAAUGAGCCGAUGUCGGAUUAGCUAGUUGGCGGGGUAAAGGCCCACCAAGGCGACGAUCCGUAGCUGGUCUGAGAGGAUGAUCAGCCACACUGGAACUGAGACACGGUCCAGACUCCUACGGGAGGCAGCAGUGGGGAAUAUUGGACAAUGGGCGCAAGCCUGAUCCAGCAAUACCGCGUGGGUGAAGAAGGCCUUCGGGUUGUAAAGCCCUUUUGUUGGGAAAGAAAAGCAGCAGGUUAAUACCCCGCUGUUCUGACGGUACCCAAAGAAUAAGCACCGGCUAACUUCGUG